AAUUCCAACUGCCUCACGGGUGUGCUAAACUACAACAUAGAUUGGAGUCCCAAUUUUCUCUACUACCAAACUCAGUAACUCAUUUGAUUAUUUGUUAGGACUUGUUCAUAUAUAAAAGAGAGAAGGGUCACAUCCCUCAAGCACAGAAGAAAAAUAUUGCAUUUUGAUAGUUUAAGCCUCAGAUGGCUAACAUUUUAACCUACAAAAGGCCCCACCCUUGAGAUCCAGUGCAUAUGGAAGCAGCAGGAAGUAUGAGGAAAUAUCACCACAAUAUUUCAUUGUUUAUUGAGUGGAAUGUGGCAGGCUUUCUGCCACACCUUUUACAGGCAUUAUCUUUAAUCUGACAACUAUCCUGAACAGAGAUCUUAUAGACUCCAUUUACAAAGGAGAAAAGUAAACUCUGAGAGAUGAUUUGCCCACAAUCACAGAGCUAGCUGGCAAGAAGAAUGGAUGGUGCAAGGUCUUUAAAAAAUCCACAACUUGCCCAAUAUAAUCUCUGAGAAAUUAGAAAACUGGGAUGGAAUUUCCAUCUCUAUGGAUAUUUCCCAUACUGGUGGAAAUGACAUUUACCAAUUAUCAGCUUAUUUUAUAAGAACCAUAAAUGUGUUUUGAAUAAUAAAGAAUACCAUUCAGAAAUAAACACUUUCUGAUCCUAAACUUCUGGUUGGAGGACUUCAGGGUUAAAAAAAACUAAAACCAAGUUAACAUAAAUUCAUAAAUAGUAUGUCUCUGACCCAAAUAAUAAAAAAUAGCCCUUGUCCCACAUACUUAGGAAAUAUAUGUGGUUCCCUGGUAUGCGUCAGAGCCUGUAGGCUGGGUGAGUAAAUAUUUAAGUGUGUGUAAACGUAACAGUGGCUUCUUUGGGAAUUGUAAGUGCACUGAAACCAUAAACAUUCAAGGAGAUGCAGCUCUGUAAAGGAGAGAGAUCCAAGUUGACAUGGCAUGAAGCAGGAAGCUUCUUCAGCCUGCACAUCCUAAGAAUCCUGGAAAGGAGAUAUUGUGGAAAAAACGAGGAGUCGUGCCAGAUUUAAUUCUUGCCAAAGACAGCCCCAAGCUGCCCGACCAAUUCUGAAGGCGUCCAAGGUGGACUGCAUGUAAGUGGCACCACCCAGGCUGAGGGAUCCUCCAGUGCGAUUUGUCCAAAAUUUUUUCCUAGUCUUGGCAUUGUCUAAUACAGAUGAGGGAAAGGACAAGAACCAAGGCCAUCGUUAGAAGAUCUCCAUCCUCACACUGGCCUCCGCUCCCUGGUGCCACACAUUUGAAGCCAGGAGACUUGCAGAAAGACAGUUCACCUUCCAUGUUGCUGAGCUAAGCCUGAAGAUCUCCGUUCCUGAGUGACUGAGACUAUAAAAUAAAUUAUCAUCUAAUAUUCAGUGCCUGAUGGGUGUCAUAAGCCAUCUGGCUGGUCAAAUAAAAGAACUGUAAGUUAAUUUGA